rnacentral:rRNA from 1 species
CACGUAGGGUGCGAGCGUUGUCCGGAAUUAUUGGGCGUAAAGAGCUCGUAGGCGGUGUGUCGCGUCGGCCGUGAAAACCUGUGGCUUAACUAUGGGCUUGCGGUCGAUACGGGCAUCACUGGAGUUCGGCAGGGGGGACUGGAAUUCCUGGUGUAGCGGUGAAAUGCGCAGAUAUCAGGAGGAACACCGGUGGCGAAGGCGGGUCUCUGGGCCGAUACUGACGCUGAGGAGCGAAAGCGUGGGGAGCGAACAGG